GAUGAACGCUGGCGGCGUGCCUAAUACAUGCAAGUCGAGCGAACGGACGAGAAGCUUGCUUCACUGAUGUUAGCGGCGGACGGGUGAGUAACACGUGGAUAACCUACCUAUAAGACUAGGAUAACUUCGGGAAACCGGAGCUAAUACCGGACAAUAUUUUGAACCGCAUGGUUCAAAAGUGAAAGACGUUCUGGCUGUCACUGAUAGAUGGAACCUCGCUGCAUUGGUAAGUUGGUAAGGUAACGGCUUACCAAGGCAACGAUGCAUAGCCGACCUGAGAGGGUGAACGGCCACACUGGAACUGAGACACGGUACAGACUCCGACGGGAGGCCGCAGUAGGGAAGCUUGGGAAAUGGGCGAAAGCCUGACCGAGCGACGCCGCGUGAGUGAUGAAGGGCUUCGGACCGUAAAACUCUGUUAUUAGGGAAGAACGUAUGUGUAAGUAACUGUGCACUUUUUGACGGUACCUAAAGAAAAAGCAACGGCUAACUACGUG
rnacentral:rRNA from 1 species